rnacentral:RNase_P_RNA from 2 species
UCAGAGGGCCGGGCGACCGCCGCGCCGCAUGCCGAAAGGCUGGCGGGGAGGAAAGUCCGGGCUCCACGGAUCGACGGUGCCGGGUAACGCCCGGCGGGCGCGAGCCCAGGGACAGUGCCACAGAGAGAAGACCGCCCGACGCCCGCAAGGGCCGACGGUAAGGCUGAAAGGGUGCGGUAAGAGCGCACCGCGGACGCGGUAACGCGGACGGCAAGGUAAACCCCACCGGGAGCAAGACCGAAUAGGGACGGCAUAUGGGCCUGAUCCGGCCCGGUCGUCCGGGUAGGUUGCUUGAGACGGCGCGCGAGCGCCGCCCUAGAGGAAUGGUCGCCCCGUCCCGCGAUGCGGGAAGGACAGAACCCGGCUUACAGGCCCUCUGACGUU